GACGGGGGGUCCUAGCGUUGUUCGGAAUCAUUGGGCGUAAAGAGGGCGUAGGUGGCCAUGUAAGUCGGGAGUGAAAUCCCUGGGCUCAACCCAGGAAGUGCUCUCGAUACUGCUUGGCUUGAAUGUGGAAGAGGAUAGUGGAAUUCCAGGUGUAGUGGUGAAAUACGUAGAUAUCUGGAGGAACACCGGUGGCGAAGGCGGCUAUCUGGUCCAACAUUGACACUGAGGCCCGAAAGCGUGGGGAUCAAACAGG
rnacentral:rRNA from 1 species